AAACUUAACAAGGAUUCCCCUAGUAGCGGCGAGCGAAGCGGGAAAAGCUCAAAUUUGUAAUCUGGCGUCUACGACGUCCGAGUUGUAAUCUCGAGAAGUGUUUUCCGUGAUAGACCGCAUACAAGUCUCUUGGAACAGAGCGUCAUAGUGGUGAGAACCCAGUACACGAUGCGGAUGCCUAUUACUUUGUGAUACACUUUCGAAGAGUCGAGUUGUUUGGGAAUGCAGCUCAAAUUGGGUGGUAAAUUCCAUCUAAAGCUAAAUAUUGGCGAGAGACCGAUAGCGAACAAGUACCGUGAGGGAAAGAUGAAAAGCACUUUGGAAAGAGAGUUAACAGUACGUGAAAUUGUUGGAAGGGAAACACAUGCAGCCAGACUUGCUAUUCGGGGCAACUCGAUUGGCAGGCCCGCAUCAGUUUUUCGGGGCGGAAAAUCAUAGAGAGAAGGUAGCAAUUUCGGUUGUGUUAUAGCUCUUUAUUGGAUUCGCCCUGGGGGACUGAGGAACGCAGCGUGCUUUUAGCAUAAGCUUCGGCUUAUCCACGCUUAGGAUGCGGGUGUAAUGGCUGUAUAUGAC
rnacentral:rRNA from 1 species